rnacentral:lncRNA from 1 species
CUAAAAUAAAGACUAGAAAAUAGUAAAAUUUAUCUAUGGUAUAUAUCUGCAGACUAGAUUAGUUAAAAAAAAGUAACAACUGCUUUUGUCUGAACUUAAAUAGAUACUGUGAAUAAACUAUACCAUAUGAGAUCUAUAUGUAGGCCAAGUAAAAAAGUGUGUGCUUUAUAAGAUCAGUUAAAAAAAAUACCAAUUAAUGCGAUGUUUAACUAAUCAUGAUACUGAAGAUAAUAAUUCAUGCAUCUAAUUUAAAAAUAUUUUUCCAACCAUAUUGAUUUAUCAGGCAUGAAACAAAUGCAAUUUUCUGUAUGUACAGCUACAUAAUAAAUGCUUGUCAUGAGUUCAUCAAUGCUUAAAAAUAAUUUUACAACUUGUUAUACAGAUGAAAUAUAUGCAUAUACAAGUAAAUAAUGGGCCUGUUAAUUGGAGGUAAUACAAAAUGGUAGUUAAAUCAUAUGACUGAUUUCCUUACUCUCAAUUUCUAUGAUUAGGCAAAGAAAAUAUCCACUUCCAAAAAUGUAUUGCUGAUACAAAUAAAUUGAGGCUAUUUGAGCUGUUACAGCAUUGACCUUUUAUGUAUUAACCUUUCUUUUAUCACAAGUUGUUGGUUCUAUCCCUAUCGUAAAUUAUACUCAAAACAUAUGUAU